rnacentral:rRNA from 2 species
UUGGAGGGCAAGUCUGGUGCCAGCAGCCGCGGUAAUUCCAGCUCCAAUAGCGUAUAUUAAAGUUGUUGCAGUUAAAAAGCUCGUAGUUGAAUUUCGGGGUUAGUAGGUUGGUCAUGCCUCUGGUAUGUACUGGUCUCACUGAUUCCUCCUUCCUUAUGAACCGUAAUGCCAUUAAUUUGGUGUUGCGGGGAAUUUGGACUGUUACUUUGAAAAAAUUAGAGUGUUUAAAGCAGGCUAACGCUUGAAUACAUUAGCAUGGAAUAAUGAAAUAGGACGUUCGAUCUUAUUUUGUUGGUUUCUAGGAUUGACGUAAUGAUUAAUAGGGAUAGUUGGGGGCAUUAGUAUUCAAUUGUCAGAGGUGAAAUUCUUGGAUUUAUUGAAGACUAACUACUGCGAAAGCAUUUGCCAAGGAUGUUUUCAUUAAUCAAGAACGAAAGUUAGGGGAUCGAAGACGAUCAGAUACCGUCGUAGUCUUAACCAUAAACUAUGCCGACUAGGGAUCGGAUGAUGUUAAUUUUUUAAUGACUCAUUCGGCGCCUUACGGGAAAC